rnacentral:precursor_RNA from 15 species
CACAUUUCCUCCAUCCUCCAGAUGACCCACUGUGUGAAAAGGGGUGAGGGUACUGUGCACUAUUGGGUAACCCUCCCUUCUUUCACAGUGGAGCACCUAGGACUCUUCUCCUGGACCCA